UACCGGAUAGCUCAGUUGGUAGAGCAUGAGACUAUUAAUCUCAGGGACGUGGGUUUGAGCCCGACAUUGGGUGAA